UCCCCUGUAGCUCAAUUGGCAGAGCAUCCGACUGUUAAUCGGACGGUUCCUGGUUCGAGUCCAGGCGGGGGAGCUA
rnacentral:tRNA from 1 species